rnacentral:rRNA from 1 species
CCUACGGGAGGCUGCAGUGGGGAAUAGUGGGCAAUGGGCGCAAGCCUGACCCAGCAACGCCGCGUGAAGGAAGAAGGCUUUCGGGUUGUAAACUUCUUUUAUCAGGGACGAAGCAAGUGACGGUAACGGAUGAAUAAGCCACGGCUAACUACGUGCCAGCAGCCGCGGUAAUACGUAGGUGGCAAGCGUUAUCCGGAUUUACUGGGUGUAAAGGGCGUGGAGGCGGGAGUGCAAGUCAGAUGGGAAAACUAUGGGCUCAACCCAUAGCCUGCAUUUGAAACUGUACUUCUUGAGUGCUGGCGAGCCAAUCGGAAUUCCGUGUGUAGCGGUGACAUGCGUAGAUCUCCGGCGGAACCCCAGUGGCGAAGGCGGAUUGCUGGACAGUACCUGACGCUGAGGCGCGAACGCGUGGGGAGCACACAGGAUUAGAUACCCGAGUAGUC